GGCAAAUCUGGAUCAUAAUCCUAAAAUGAAGGCAAUGGAAAAUAAAAAAGUUUUCCUCUUUACAAAAUUCAAAAAAUAAUAAGAAAAGGAAUGUCAAAGCUAAGCUACAUCUUUAUGUGUAUUUAAAUAUAUCAUUUCAAUACAGCCUUACAUAUGCAUAAUACAGAAGAACCUUACUACCUGCUCUGAUCGCCCACUCUCAU
rnacentral:misc_RNA from 1 species